UCGGCUUAGAGUUUGAUCAUGGCUCACAUUGAACGCUGGCGGCAGGCUUAACACAUGCAAGUCGAACGGUAAAGUAGCUUGCUACUUGCGAGUGGCGGACGGGUGAGUAACGUAUGGGAAUUUACCGAAUGGAGGGGGACAACAGUUGGAAACGGCUGCUAAUACCGCAUAACGUCGAGAGACCAAAGGUGUUCGCACUGCCAUUUGAUGAGCCCAUAUGAGAUUAGCUAGUUGGUGUGGUAAUGGCUCACCAAGGCGACGAUCUCUAGCUGGUUUGAGAGGAUGACCAGCCACACUGGGACUGAGACACGGCCCACACUCCUACGGGAGGCAGCAGUGGGGAAUAUUGCACAAUGGGGGGAACCCUGAUGCAGCCAUGCCGCGUGUAUGAAGAAGGCCUUAGGGUUGUAAAGUACUUUCGUGGAGGAGGAAGGGUUUACUAAUGUGGACCUUGACGUUACUCCGAGAAGAAGCACCGGCUAACUCCGUGCCAGCAGCCGCGGUAAUACGGAGGGUGCGAGCGCUAAUCGGAAUGACUGGGCGUAAAG
rnacentral:rRNA from 1 species